AUCGCGGGGCCGCUUACUCAAACAGCCGCGCAAGCGCCGCGCCCCGCACGCGCCGCCACCCGCCAUUGGUUGGGUCGCGGGGAACGACGGGAGUUGUAGUCACGGCGUGAGAGGUCGCGGGGCCGCGAGUCCCGCGCGGGAUAGAGCGAGCUGGAGACCAGAGCCGCGGAGGCUUCCAGUCUGGCCUGGCCUGGUCUGAGUCCCGAGCCGGUUCCCGCGCCCCGGCACCACCGGGAGACGCAGGUGUCGCGGGGGCCCUCGGGGGCGCAAAGCACGCAGCUGUGUCAAUCGUUUCCCCUCCAGGGAUCUGGCGGCGUCUGGGGAUGGCGGCUGGUGCAGCUGCGUAGGGCGUCGGGGCCGCGGUCGCCUGGAGCGAAGCCUGCGAGGCCGAAGUCGCCCGGACGCCGGGAGCCGCGGGGGAGGAGCCCUGCGCGCCCGCGGCCGCGCCCGCCCUGGAUUGGCGACCCCCAGAGUCCCGCGCGCGCCGCCGUGUCGGCGCGAUCGCGGCCGUGCGAAGUGUUUUUAAAGACACACUAAGGCGCAUUCAGAGUCUCACUAUGCAGUUCUGACUGGCCUUGAACUGGCGUCGAUCCUCCUGCCUCAGCCUCCCGAGUGCCGAGAUUCCAGCUGUGUGCCAGCCCGCCCGACUGUCGUGGUCUAAUGUGGCGCCUGGGAAACUCCAAGCCGCAUCCACAGUUCACAUUAUAUUUAUGUUGGCAGCACUGAGGUAGAGGCACAGUAACUGCUUGGUAAAGGAAACUAUUAAAAAGCCAUUCACCAAGAGAAAGGCGAGAUCAAGCCACAGAGGCAGGCAAAGCUUUCGGGGCACAGAGCUGUCUGAGAAGCAACAGACAGACUUUUGAGUUCAGCAAAA